AGAGCAGGCCUCCUUGGUGGGCAAGAUGCACCUGCUGAACCCUUUCACUCUGGCGGGAGUGCCAUGGAGCAGGUGCCCAUCACCGGGUGUACAGGCCCGCGUGGCAGGUGGCGAGCGACCCGCAGGGUGUUACCCGGCUCACGGGACGAGCCGCUUCUGCGAGUCCUAGGAAGGGUGCUGUGCCGCUCAGCCCCGGCCUGUCCGGAUGUCAUGACGCGGACACGGGGACCCAAAGCGUGGCAGGGUGUUCCCCUUCCGCGUGUGACCCCCGUCUGCUCUGGGCCCUGCAGCUAAGAGCGAGGCCAGCGGCUUCCAGCCAGGAAACAGCGGGGCGUCUGGCGUUGGGACCGGCCUGUUGGUUCUGGGGCGCCCUCGGUUGUCUUCCUUCCCAGCCCGACCCGGCCGGCGUUCCUGAAAGCUGCUGGGGGACGGGAGCAGCCCCCCACUCGCUGAGAGGGCAGCGUGGGGUGCGUCUCCUCCCGCCCGCCCCCCUCUCCCUGGGGCUGGGCGUGUCACACUCCGCCUGCCGUCACAAACCUGCUCUGGUUCUCGUGCUGAUGUCGGAACUCGCCCCGAAGGGUCCGGCUCCGCACGCUGCGCAGGGGUCCGCGAACGCUCUGCCUGGCUGGCUUAGCUCUGUGGGGUCGAUGCCGGAGCGCUCUCUACGUGUGUGUCAUUCCCCCAAAAUUGCCACGAUCACGAACAGUCCGAGUUCGCCCCCAGCCGGCAGGCCGUUGGUGGGCAGGGAGCCAGGAGAGGCCACAUCCCGGGCGCCGCCUCCCACUGCUGGCUGUGUGCCUGGACCGCCACCUUCCCGCCCUUGCGUUGUCCCCCCACCGCCCAGGCAGCCCGUGUCCUCAUCACGUCCCUGCCCCGGCCGGAGAGCAGUGAUUGGACUGUGGGUCUGUGACAGGUGAGGGGCGGGCUGAGCACGGCGAGCGGCACGAGGGACGGGAGCCGGUCUCCCCGUGACCCCUCGGGCGUGGCCGGGCGAGGCGGUGGGGCCUGGGUGACCGGCCUGUCUCUGCCAACCCCCUCCCCGUAGGUGCUGCCCGCUCGGGCCCAGAAAUGGGAUGUCAGGCCUCCAGAAGGAGCACAGUGGAAGCCAGGGCCUCCCCGAGCCGCUGCUGUGACGGC
rnacentral:lncRNA from 1 species